rnacentral:rRNA from 1 species
ACUUUCARGAUUAGUAGAGAAGUUAGGGGGUAGUUAAGCGUAAUUUUUUAAAUCUAUAUUUAUUAAAAAGUAAAAUUGGUUUAAUUUUUUAUAGGCAAAAAUAAAUUUAAGUUGAAGCUAGUAACUUUUGGGGUUAAACUAGGAUUAGAUACCCUAUUAUUCCAAGAUUAAAUAAUAACCCCUAGUUAGUAGUAGAUAUUUACUUAAAAUCUAAAAAAUUUGGCGGUAAUUUAAUCUUUUCAGAGGAACUUGUUUUUUAAUCGAUAAACCACGAAAUAUCUUACUUAUCUUAGUAAAAAGUUUGUAUACCAUCAUUAUCAGGUAAUUUUAAAAAAAUAAAUUACUAGGUUUAAGUAUUUAGUUAAAUUAGAUCAUGGUGCAGCAUAUAGAUAAGUUAAAAUGGGUUACAAUAAAUUGUUUUAUACGGAUAAAUAAAUUAAUAUUUUUUUAGAAGGAGGAUUUGAUUGUAUUCUGAGUUUAGUAUGUUUAGAAGAUGGUAGCUCUAAAUUAUGUACAUAUCGCCCGUCGCAUUUCAUUUAUAGGGUGAAAUAAGUCGUAACAUA